UACGAAGGGGGGCUAGCGUUGCUCGGAAUGACUGGGCGUAAAGGGCGCGUAGGCGGUUCAUACAGUCAGAUGUGAAAUUCCCGGGCUUAACCUGGGGGCUGCAUUUGAUACGUGUGGGCUUGAGUGAGGAAGAGGGUUGUGGAAUUCCCAGUGUAGAGGUGAAAUUCGUAGAUAUUGGGAAGAACACCGGUGGCGAAGGCGGCUAUCUGGACGGUUUCUGACGCUAAGACGCGAAAAGCGUGGGGAGCAAACAGG
rnacentral:rRNA from 1 species